CCAGACUCCUACGGGAGGCAGCAGUGGGGAAUAUUGCACAAUGGGGGAAACCCUGAUGCAGCGACGCCGCGUGGGUGAAGGAGUACUUCGGUACGUAAAGCCCUAUCAGCAGGAAAGAAAAUGACGGUACCUGACUAAGAAGCCCCGGCUAACUACGUGCCAGCAGCCGCGGUAAUACGUAGGGGGCAAGCGUUAUCCGGAUUUACUGGGUGUAAAGGGGGCGCAGACGGCCAUGGCAAGCCCGGUGUGAAAGGCAGGGGCAUAACCCCUGGACUGCACUGGGAACUGUCAGGCUGGAGUGCCGGAGGGGUAAGCGGAAUUCCUGGUGUAGCGGUGAAAUGCGUAGAUAUCAGGAGGAACACCGGCGGCGAAGGCGGCUUACUGGACUGUAACUGACGUUGAGGCUCGAAAGCGUGGGGAGCAAACAGGAUUAGAUACCCCAGUAU
rnacentral:rRNA from 1 species